rnacentral:rRNA from 1 species
GACGAACGCUGGCGGCGUGCUUAACACAUGCAAGUCGAACGGAGUGGCGAACGGGUGAGUAACACGUGGGUGACCUGCCCUGCACUUCGGGAUAAGCCUGGGCAACUGGGUCUAAUACCGGACAGUGUGGGAUGGGCCCGCGGCCUAUCAGAUUGCUGGUGGGGUAAUGGCCUACCAAGGCGGCGACGGGUGGCCGGCCCGGGAGGGUGGACGGCCACAUUGGAACUGCGAAACGGCCCAGACUCCUACGGGAGGCAGCAGUGGGGAAUAUUGCACAAUGGGCGGAAGCCAAAUGCAGCGACGCCGCGUGUCUGAAGAAGGCCUUAGGGUUGUAAAGUACUUUCAGCGGGGAGGAGGUUAAUACCCUUCAAUUGACGUUAACCGAAGAAGAAGCACCGGCUAACUCCGUGCCAGCAGCCGGGGUAAUUC